rnacentral:rRNA from 1 species
AGCAGCCGCGGUAAUUCCAGCUCCAAUAGCGUAUAUUAAAGUUGUUGCAGUUAAAAAGCUCGUAGUUGAAUUUCGGGGUCAAUAAGUUGGUCGUGCCAAUGGUAUGCACUGGCUUUAUUGAUUCCUACCUCUUGACGAACUGUGAUGCCAUUAAUUUGGUGUCGCAAGGAAUCAGGACUGUUACCUUGAAAAAAUUAGAGUGUUUAAAGCAGGCUUACGCUUGAAUACAUUAGCAUGGAAUAAUGAAAUAGGACGUUUGAACCUAUUUUGUUGGUUUCUAGGAUCGACGUAAUGAUUAAUAGGGAUAGUUGGGGGCAUUAGUAUUCAAUUGUCAGAGGUGAAAUUCUUGGAUUUAUUGAAGACUAACUACUGCGAAAGCAUUUGCCAAGGAUGUUUUCAUUAAUCAAGAACGAAAGUUAGGGGAUCGAAGACGAUCAGAUACCGUCGUAGUCUUAACCAUAAACUAUGCCGACUAGGGAUCGGAUGAUGUUAAUUUUUAAUGUA